rnacentral:rRNA from 1 species
GACGAACGCUGGCGGCGUGCUUAACAUAUGCAAGUCGAACGGAAAGGCCCUGCUUUUGUGGGGUGCUCGAGUGGCGAACGGGUGAGUAACACGUGAGUAACCUGCCCUUGACUUUGGGAUAACUUCAGGAAACUGGGGCUAAUACCGGAUAGGAGCUCCUGCUGCAUGGUGGGGGUUGGAAAGUUUCGGCGGUUGGGGAUGGACUCGCGGCUUAUCAGCUUGUUGGUGGGGUAGUGGCUUACCAAGGCUUUGACGGGUAGCCGGCCUGAGAGGGUGACCGGCCACAUUGGGACUGAGAUACGGCCCAGACGCCUACGGGAGGCAGCAGUGGGGAAUAUUGCACAAUGGGCGGAAGCCUGAUGCAGCAACGCCGCGUGCGGGAUGACGGCCUUCGGGUUGUAAACCGCUUUCGCCUGUGACGAAGCGUGAGUGACGGUAAUGGGUAAAGAAGCACCGGCUAACUACGUG